AGUGAACGCUGGCGGUAGGCCUAACACAUGCAAGUCGAACGGCAGCACAGUAAGAGCUUGCUCUUACGGGUGGCGAGUGGCGGACGGGUGAGGAAUACAUCGGAAUCUACCUUUUCGUGGGGGAUAACGUAGGGAAACUUACGCUAAUACCGCAUACGACCUACGGGUGAAAGCAGGGGAUCUUCGGACCUUGCGCGAUUGAAUGAGCCGAUGUCGGAUUAGCUAGUUGGCGGGGUAAAGGCCCACCAAGGCGACGAUCCGUAGCUGGUCUGAGAGGAUGAUCAGCCACACUGGAACUGAGACACGGUCCAGACUCCUACGGGAGGCAGCAGUGGGGAAUAUUGGACAAUGGGCGCAAGCCUGAUCCAGCCAUACCGCGUGGGUGAAGAAGGCCUUCGGGUUGUAAAGCCCUUUUGUUGGGAAAGAAAAGCAGCAGGUUAAUACCCCGCUGUUCUGACGGUACCCAAAGGAUAAGCACCGGCUAACUUCGUG
rnacentral:rRNA from 1 species